rnacentral:lncRNA from 1 species
AAAAAAAAAAAACAUAAAAAUGAAUAAUUACAUAGUUUUUCUGUUAGUUAUUGGUAUGUGUUCUUGGUCAAGUGAAGCUUGGAUAAAAGAAAACUGCCCUAUAAAUCGUAUAAUGAUUACUAACCAACUCGGUGGUGGUCAAGUAUUGGGAUACAAGUGCAGUAAUUGGCUAUAUCAAAAUUGGGAAGGCGGUUUAAGAACUUUUAAUCAAAACAGAACUUGGGAAUUCGCCGAUGUUACUAAUAGAAGAGAAAGAACAAGGUAUGAAUGUGAUUUAUGGUUUGGAGCUCGAAAAGAAUUUCAUUUUGAUGAGCUUGAAAUAUAUCGAGCUGCUGCAAAUACUAGAUGUAAUCAAAUACGUCAAUGGGCAGCUAGACCUGAUGGGAUUUGGUUCAGAAGAGAUCAUGACAAACCGUUAGGCCUUGUCCGCCCCUGGAAGAAAAGAUAGAUAUAAUUUCUUCUUUUCCAUUUCCUAAUAUUGAAAUAAUCAGUAAAGAUCUAAUAAUAAUGUGCUAUAUUGUAUAUAGAAAAAAUAUUAUAAUAAUAGUGUAUAAGUUUAAGUAAUACUUAUACAUGUUGUUGUUUCAAGGUUGUAAACAAUGACACAAUAUACUUAUUUUAUAAUAAUUCUUGUUUUGUAACAGAAAUGUCUACAUCUUUAUGUUUUUCUUUUUAGUAUGCAAAAGAAAACAUGUUUAGAACCUCUAUAAUAGAAAAUCUUCCAAGAAAUGCACUCAAAGGUUGGUGAAAAAGAUAAGCUUUGACCCAAAGAUGGAUCAAAGGAAAGGUGGAUCGAUGGUUCUUCAGUAUAAGGCUGCGGAAGGCCAAAUACUUGUUGGUUGGUCUUAGUCCGUGAGAGGCAGCCCCACUAGUGAACAAGACCGUGCUUACGGAGAUCACUCUCGUAGCAUUACGAUGUUCCAAAGAACAAAGGAUUCAACAAAUUUAAAAAGUAGAUUUUUAUUAAAAGGGUUGAAUGAAAUAAAACAAUACAAAGCAAGCCUUUAUAUAAUAGGCAAUCUGUAGAAUUAAAUAAUCUAGUCAAUCCUUGAAACUAUAAAGCUUUUAAAACUAUGAAGACUUGACUAGGAAUAUUGACUUGACCAAAGACCAAGACUGUUGACCAAAUUUGGGAAAUUGUGUUCGCAGAAUUUCUUGGCUGGUUGUAUCUUUUUGCAUGAUCGACGGUCUCUGAAUUGCCGUCAGAUUGAUAUAUUAUACGACAUUGGCUUGUUGCUGAACAAGGUCACAUCAUCCCCUCCUCCUUCAAAAGGCGGAAGGCCAAAUACUUGUUGGUUGGUCUUAGUCCGUGAGAGGCAGCCCCACUAGUGAACAAGACCGUGCUUACGGAGAUCACUCUCGUAGCAUUACGAUGUUCCAAAGAACAAAGGAUUCAACAAAUUUAAAAAGUAGAUUUUUAUUAAAAGGGUUGAAUGAAAUAAAACAAUACAAAGCAAGCCUUUAUAUAAUAGGCAAUCUGUAGAAUUAAAUAAUCUAGUCAAUCCUUGAAACUAUAAAGCUUUUAAAACUAUGAAGACUUGACUAGGAAUAUUGACUUGACCAAAGACCAAGACUGUUGACCAAAUUUGGGAAAUUGUGUUCGCAGAAUUUCUUGGCUGGUUGUAUCUUUUUGCAUGAUCGACGGUCUCUGAAUUGCCGUCAGAUUGAUAUAUUAUACGACAUUGGCUUGUUGCUGAACAAGGUCACAUCACUCUAGGUACCAACAAUGAAGUUUCGGGAUGUUUAAUCAACGUUAGGCAUCGCUAUUUGAAUCUUCAAUCCCAAUUCGAGAUACCAACUAUGGAGUUUCGAGUUGUUCAAUUGACGUGAACCAUCUCUGUGUAAAUCUUCAAUUCUGAUGUUUUGCCUUCCGUUAAAAUCAUGUUCAUAGUAUUCCUAAACUUCAUACCUUUAAUUAACGUGAUUCUGUUCUUGAAUAAGUGUUAUUAAAUUCAUGUUCAUAUGACUAUUAAACUAAUGUUCAUAGUGUUCUUAAACUCAUAUCUUAAUAAUUUUGUAAUUUGGUUGAGGUCAUGUUACGCUGGAGCAGGAAUCUGUUCUUUUCUAAUAUUAAGCCCUUCGAAGAGAAAGGUCUUGCUGAUGAGUGGGACAAAGUUGGGAUGUAUCUCUCAGGGUUCAAUAAGCUCGAUGAUGAUAAUUGAUUCUCUGGAAAUUUUAUUUGAGAUUAGGACAAAGGUAUAGUGAAGCUCGAGAUUGAGAUGAUUUGUUCUUUUAAUUUAUUUCUUGAAUAUACAGCUAUAUUCUUCCUUGAAGUAAUUAUGUUGUUUGUAUGUUUAUUUCAGAAAUGUCAAAAGGUUUAUGAAGAUCUUUACAAAGAGAUGACUCAGCUUCUGACUCGAGAUCAUUUUAGGUAAAUUUAGCUUUAGCCUUAAUAUAACUCAACUUUCUAAAAUGCAUACACUUAAGUUUUAAAGUGUGUGUUUGAUAUCUCCACAGGGAAAAGAGUAAUUGUCAACUAGAGUGAUACAAAAUCAGCCAGAAAUAUAAUGUAAACUCAGUUGAAGAAACUGAUAGAGGAAUAUGCUUUGUUUGAUGAGAAGCUUGCCUUCCCCAGUUUCCAGCCUUCUUGCUCGUGAACUUUGAUCAAUCAAAGGUAAACGUCCUGUAUCUUUCUUGAACAGAAAGGUCAAGUGAUCAAUCAAGAACAUCUCUCUGGUCACCAAUGAGAGCCAGGAUUUGUAGAAGAGCGUUAGAGAGAGAGAGAGAGAGAGAAGAGAGACUGAAGUAGCCGUGACUAUUAUCAUGAAGGGAAACAAAGUAAAAGUGACGGGGAAAGGGAUAAUGAUUGUGGUGCGUCGCGUCUAGAUAAUCAAAGUGGUCGGUAUAGACAGAGAAGAGAAGGGAGGAAGUCUCCAGAUUAUCAGGACAUCGUCAUGGACACUAGAAGUAGCCGAGCAGGGCCUGAUGGUGAUGUGAUCAAAUUUCAAAUCAGAGCGUUAACCUUCCAGUUCUGUGGUGCAAGAAGAGAAUGGGUAUGUACUUUUUUUUAUUUUUGUGUACUUGGAAACGUUUGGUGUGCUGUCUUUGUAAGUUGAUGUUUUUGACUCUAAUGUUGAUUUGCGCUUUUUAAGAAGCUUUAAAGUUGCUAUUGAUCAUAAGUUUGUUAUGGUGAAACAGGAACGUCUCAGGUCAGACUGCAAAAUGGGUCUCUUCCAGGGAGGCGGCUGAGCUGUCUGGAGGAUCGGACAGGGGUACAAGACAGAAAGCGUCUGAGAAAACUAUAAAGACGGAAGAUGGUGUUUUGGGCGAGUUUCAUGGUUCCACAAAAGCUUCUCGCCGGCCCAUGGUUGAAAGAUCUCCUUCUUCGACAAGUCUUGACCGGAUAUUCAAUUUAUAAUCAGAGUUAGUGCAAGAUGGAGCAGUGAGGUUGAAGAAACAGGCCUUAGGAACAACGCGAAAGAUUUUUCAGCACCUGAGGAUGAAAGGUUUCGGGUGGAUGACACAUCACAGGGAAAUAUAUCCUUUAACAAUAAAGCCUACCUGAGAAAGUGCCAUUGAAGAUAGGAAGGAGUUUGGUAGAUCUUCAAGCCUAUACUUCUGAGUUGUUGAUGCUGUUGGGAGCUGUAAUAAAAUUACGUUCUUCGGCUGGAUGACAUUGUUUCUGCAUAUUUUGAGUUGUGAAGUUCAGGUACUCUCUUUCACAAGUAUUUGCUGUGUUUUUGUACUUUAUACGUUGGGUUUUAAAUUUUAGUACAUAAAAGAAUACUAUGUUUGAUUUUGAUUUACCUCUUUUCACGUAAUCUAAUCCUAAAAAUUUAUAGACUUCAAGAAUAAGCAACAAAACUUAUAUGUAUUGUUUUGUUUGGUAUUGGAGUUGCCUUCAAGCCAAAUUUAGCUUGAAAAUAACGUGAUUAUUCGAAUUAUCUGUAUAUACAAUUGAUAGUUAAUAUUGUAUUUAUAUAUAUAUUACGUUUGUUAAAUAUAUACAUAUAAAAUAUAUAAAAAGAGAAUAUAUUUUGUUAAUUAAAUCCGGUUUAGCAUGAAAUAAAAUAAUAAGUUUUGUAGAAUAAACUACAAUAUUAGAUGCUAAGUCUACAAUAACAUUAACCUACACCCGCUAAUGAUCAACUUACACACGUAUAACUAUCUACACGAUUUCUCGCUAGCUGCAGUUUGGAGGUUCAUAACAUUCGAAAAAUGCAAAGUAUUUUCAUAACAACACCGAAGAUGGUAUAACACAUACAUUGCAGCCAAAUAUUAUUUAACUAAUGUUAUAUACUUUUUAAGUUAAAAGUUGCAUGCUACGGCAUCAAAAUAUGUUUUUAUGGUUUGUAUUUUCAGAGAGAUUCUUUCGAGAUUUAAUGGUUUUUCGUUUUUCUAAAAAAAACUAAAGUUGGAUAGAAACAAAAUAAAACAAGAACGAAUGACUGCUACAAUUAGAGUCGCAUCCAUACAUCAUUUCAUAGAGUUAGAAUAACCAAACUUCAAUGUAUCCUCACCGAAAUUGGUCGCAAUACCUUCUCCACCAGUAGUUUUCUGUGACAACGUCGGAGCUACAUUUCGCUGCGCUAAUCCAAUCUUUCAUUCGCGCAUGAAGCACAUAGCGAUAGACUACCACUUCGUUCGUGGUCAAGUUCAACGGGGAGCUUUGCGAGUUUCACAUAUUAAUAUCAGAGAUCAAUACACUGACGCCCUCACCACUUCACUCUCUCGAGCUAGGUUCUUGGAUCUUCGUGACAAGUUUGGAGUGAGACCUCUCCCUCUAUCUUGAGGGGGCGUGUUAAAGAUAUUAUAGAGAGAUACUCGGGAUUCCAAUCCCUUCUGUUAUGGCAACUUAGUUAAUACGUUAACCUAGAGACCUCCUCUCUAUUCUUGUAUAUAUAGGCAAUUUUCCUUGUACUGUUAAUAUAUGCAAAUACAUAUUCUCUACACUUUCUCCAGCUUUACAACCUCCUUCUUGUGUACCACCCUAGAAGGUUUGUUAUGACCUUUUCCUCUUUUAACAGAUGUAGCUGACUCUGAAACAGUCUUCUGAUUGAAACAGAGACUCAGGUGAAGUACAAUAUAUAGGUUAUGCUGCAGAGACGUACCCACCACACACGGCAAAUAAUAUAUCUUCCAAUUUACUCACAAAGUGAUAUGAUCUAUGCCAAAUGUUGUGUUUAAAUAUAAUCUUCAGUAAAGUAUAAAUCAAAAAUUUGGUAUAAAUCAUCAUAAAACAAUAGGAUUAUCCAUGAUAAAAUACUCAACGUGACAAUUUUUAUAAUUAUAAUUCAGUAAUAAGAAGAUCUUAAUUAUUAGUUUAUAAUAAUACAUUUCCUAACAUUUUAAAUUUUGUGGUUUUGUUUUUGUGGUAAUUUAUAAAUUAUAAUUGUUUCUUUAUUUAUUUUUUCUUUGUGGCUAACCAUAUUUUUUAUAUUAAGGUGAGUAAACCCUCUAGCACCAAUAAUUUUACUUGGUUUGUAUUUGAUUUAGUAAUUAGUUAACGCUAUUAAUUACAUAUCUAAAAAUAAAAGUAAAACAUACUUCACAUUUUUUUUAUAAAUACUUCAUGUUGAUAAUCUUAUUACUCCAACAAAAAAAAUCAUAAAAAUGAAUAAUUACAUAGUUUUUCUGUUUGUUAUUGCUAUGUGUUCUAGGUUAAGUGAAGCUUUGGUACCAGAAAAUUGCCCUAUAAAUCGUAUAAUGAUUACUAACCAACUCGGUGGUGGUAAAGUAUUGGGAUACAAGUGCAGUAAUUGGCUACGUCGUGAAUGGCAAGGCAGUUUAAGAACUUUUAAUGAAAAUAAAUCUUGGGAAUUCACUGAUGUUAUUAAAAUACGAAAAAGAUCAAGGUAUAAAUGUGAUUUAUGGUUUGGAGCUCGAAAAGAAUUUCAUUUUGAUGAGCUUCAAAUAUAUCGAGCUGCUUCUAGGCAUAGAUGUAAUCAAAUACGUCAAUGGGCAGCUAGACCUGAUGGGAUUUGGUUCAGAAAAGAUCAUGACAAACCGUUAGGCCAUGUCCUCCCCUGGAAGAAAAGAUAGAUAUAACUUUUUCUUUUCCAUUUCCUAAUAUUGAAAUAUCUGUAAAUAUCUAAUAAUAAUGUUUUGUGAAACAAGAGAAUAUAAUCUGUAUGUUUUUGUUAUUAUUCAUAAAAUAUAUGGAAUUGCACCGUCA